UACGGGGGGAGCAAGCGUUGUUCGGAUUUACUGGGCGUAAAGGGCGCGUAGGCGGUCAGCACAAGUCAGUUGUGAAAUCUCCGGGCUUAACUCGGAAAGGUCAACUGAUACUGUGCGACUAGAGUGCGGAAGGGGCAACUGGAAUUCUCGGUGUAGCGGUGAAAUGCGUAGAUAUCGAGAGGAAUACCGGUGGCGAAGGCGGCCUUCUGGACGAUGACUGACGCUGAGACGCGAAAGCGUGGGGAGCAAACAGG
rnacentral:rRNA from 1 species